rnacentral:rRNA from 1 species
UGGGGAAUUUUGGACAAUGGGGGCAACCCUGAUCCACCCAUGCCGCGUGAGUGAAGAAGGCCUUCGGGUUGUAAAGUUCUUUUGGCGGGAAAGAAAUGGCAUUGGCUAAUAUCCGUAGUUGAUGACGGUACCCGAAUAGGAAGCACCGGCUAACUUACUGCCCCCGGCCGCGGUAAUGAA